rnacentral:lncRNA from 1 species
AAAGAGUAUACAGAAUAUAGGUCUGAAACUGGAAAUUUUCCAGCUGGAUUUAAAGAGAAUUGUUGUAGCUAAAGGGGAUAGUUAUGCAUUCAAUAAGAACGUAAGAGUACCUAAGCAUAAAGCACUGGGCUAGACUUUGGGUGGGGAGGUGUUUAUAGAGAUGGAUGGGUUGCAAACUCAAGUCACUUAACAACCUACUGAGGAUGAUCCGAACACAUGGAAAUUAAAUAAGAUGUCACAGUCAGUAUAUCAAGUCACUUUGGCAGGGUCUCAGGAGCAGCUUAGUGGGAUAUAUUACACAGUGAUGCGUUUUUACAUUUUCAAUAUGUAGGUCUCAAGGAAAAGACAGUGGGAAAGAGUGAAGAUACAUUCUGUAAAGUUGAACUGAACUGCUUGCAUGAAAGAAAAGAGAAAGAAAGUCGAAAUCUAAAACAUGGAAGAGGAAGAGGAAUCAAAGGGAGAGAGAGAACUUUAAGACAAGAAUAAGAACCCUGAGCCCUAAGGUUGAUAAACCAGUGGUUACAACCCACAGAACCAGUUUUAGGAAUGGAUUGCUCUGCUCCAACUCAGUUGUCAGAUUCCAGGAGAUGCCACUGGAGGAAGAGAAAUGGAUAAAGUUUGCUCUCAAUGAGAUCCACACCCCAAGAAUCAAGCACAGAGAGACCUUCUCAGCUCCUCACUCUUCUGGAUCUUACUUCUGAAUUGAUGGGAGGGAUGUUGCUAUGGUAAGGACAUGUUAUUUCAUAAAUGUUGACAAAUCAUCUCCCUAAUACUCCAUUGCAUCAUCUUCUAGGAGAUCUUCAUAGCUUUGGCGAGCUCGGCUGUGCUUCAGGGUGCCACCUCACAGGCCUGAGUGGGUAGAGACACAGAGGGAGACCGGGCAGGACUCAACUGUGACGGCAGAAUCAAGCCAGCUGUGGGCUUGGCCCUUUAGCUGGAGUCAGUCUAAUCUCCAUGCCUG